AUCUAAGGAUGAAAGUGGGGGCUCGCAAGACCUCAUGCUCCUGGAGCGGCCGAUAUCUGAUUAGCUAGUUGGUGGGGUAAAGGCCUACCAAGGCAUCGAUCAGUAGCUGGUCUGAGAGGACGACCAGCCACACUGGAACUGAGACACGGUCCAGACUCCUACGGGAGGCAGCAGUGGGGAAUUUUGGACAAUGGGCGCAAGCCUGAUCCAGCAAUGCCGCGUGAGUGAAGAAGGCCUUCGGGUUGUAAAGCUCUUUUGUCAGGGAAGAAACGGUGGGAGCUAAUAUCUCUUGCUAAUGACGGUACCUGAAGAAUAAGCACCGGCUAACUACGUGCCAGCAGCCGCGGUAAUACGUAGGGUGCAAGCGUUAAUCGGAAUUACUGGGCGUAAAGCGUGCGCAGGCGGUUUUGUAAGUCUGACGUGAAAUCCCCGGGCUCAACCUGGGAAUUGCGUUGGAGACUGCAAGGCUAGAAUCUGGCAGAGGGGGGUAGAAUUCCACGUGUAGCAGUGAAAUGCGUAGAGAUGUGGAGGAACACCGAUGGCGAAGGCAGCCCCCUGGGUCAAGAUUGACGCUCAUGCACGAAAGCGUGGGGAGCAAACAGGAUUAGAUACCCUGGUAGUCCACGCCCUAAACGAUGUCUACUAGUUGUCGGGUUUUAAUUAACUUGGUAACGCAGCUAACGCGUGAAGUAGACCGCCUGGGGAGUACGGUCGCAAGAUUAAAACUCAAAGGAAUUGACGGGGGCAAGGGCGAAUUC
rnacentral:rRNA from 1 species